CCUACGGGAGGCAGCAGUGGGGAAUUUUGGACAAUGGGCGAAAGCCUGAUCCAGCAAUGCCGCGUGAGUGAAGAAGGCCUUCGGGUUGUAAAGCUCUUUUGUCAGGGAAGAAACGGUGUGGGCUAAUAUCCCGCACUAAUGACGGUACCUGAAGAAUAAGCACCGGCUAACUACGUGCCAGCAGCCGCGGUAAUACGUAGGGUGCAAGCGUUAAUCGGAAUUACUGGGCGUAAAGCGUGCGCAGGCGGUUUUGUAAGUUUGUCGUGAAAGCCCCGGGCUCAACCUGGGAAUUGCGAUGAAGACUGCAAGGCUUGAAUCUGGCAGAGGGGGGUAGAAUUCCACGUGUAGCAGUGAAAUGCGUAGAGAUGUGGAGGAACACCGAUGGCGAAGGCAGCCCCCUGAGUCAAGAUUGACGCUCAUGCACGAAAGCGUGGGGAGCAAACAGGAUUAGAUACCCUGGUAGUCCACGCCCUAAACGAUGUCUACUAGUUGUCGGGUUUUAAUUAACUUGGUAACGCAGCUAACGCGUGAAGUAGACCGCCUGGGGAGUACGGUCGCAAGNUUAAAACUUNAAAUUGAGUAGNGCGNGAGAGNGCGAGACGACACGAGGGAGAGG
rnacentral:rRNA from 1 species